rnacentral:rRNA from 1 species
UACAGAGGGUGCGAGCGUUGUCCGGAAUCACUGGGCGUAAAGGGCGCGUAGGCGGCGCGGUAAGCGUGCGGUGAAAGCCCGGGGCUCAACCCCGGGUCGGCCGUGCGGACUGCCGGGCUGGAGCACUGUAGAGGCAGGUGGAAUUCCGGGUGUAGCGGUGGAAUGCGUAGAGAUCCGGAAGAACACCGGUGGCGAAGGCGGCCUGCUGGGCAGUAGCUGAUGCUGAAGCGCGACAGCGUGGGGAGCAAACAGG